GUCAAGAUUCCCGAGCGGUCUAAAGCGCUGCGUUCAGGUCGCAGUACAAUUCUGCGGGAUUGGGUUCGAAUCCCAUUUUUGACA